rnacentral:lncRNA from 1 species
UCCCAAAGCACUAAGAUCACAGGCAUGAGCCACUGUGCCUGGCCAAGUAGGUUUCUAAUUUCAAAAUUAAGGGACACAGCCCUUCGAGGUUGUCUGAUGAGCCCCUGGGGUCUUUAACCAUCUGGAGGGAUGUAUCGUAUCAGACUCAGUGUUGUUGACGGACUGAAGCCCGGGAUUCGUGAGGCCACGUGUUGGCUUGUAGGAUUUUCUCUGGCAGAGACAUGAGUGACUUC